ensembl:snRNA U6 U6 spliceosomal RNA
ACACUCAUUUUAGUAGCACAUAUACUACACUUGGUAUGAUACAGAGAAGAUUAGCAUGGUCCCUGUGAAAGAAUGACAUGCAAAAUCAUAAAGCACUCCAUAAUUGU